UUCGCCUUUUAAACUUAAAAAUUAUAAAAAUUGAAAAGUAUUGUUUUUAAUGCUGGGGCAUGUUCAGGGUACCUGCUUCAGAAAGACUAGAGGGUGAAAGUGUUGGGUAUGUGCCGUCCAUCUGUUAUAGAAGAUAAGGUGGGGUUAAUAGAAGAUGAAAAAAUAUAUAAACUGGUAUAUAGACUCUAUAGUAUCUGUAUCUCUUUCAAAAUAGAAUGGACAACCCUUUUAAUGCUUGUUUUGAAUUUUUCCAUACUAAAGUGUAAAAGUAGAAGAUAACAGGCAAGCUGGUAAAUAUAUCGUGAACAAACACAAUUUGCGAGGCGUGGGGCUUGGUCUUUAGAUGCUAUGUUAGAGGUUUGUAUAACAGAUGGAAGCACCUAUUUUGAUAACUAUUGGUUGUUAAUUUGGUCUUCUUAUUAGGGAUGGGUUAUCUGUCUCUGUGGUGAGAUUACUUAAACUGAUACCUUGUUAGUUUUUACUGCUGGUUUUCUCAUUUAAUCACCCUGUUCAAAUGGUGGCAUUAAUUACAUGGACUAAAAGAACUUUAAGUAGUAUUCAGAUGUGGGAGCUAAAGCAAUACAAGUUCUUUAUUUCCCACCCUUUCAUUUAAUUUCUUCAUCAUCUUUAUUCAAUGAAAAAAAGCUCUUCCAUCAAACUUCUAACUUGUAUAAUCUUACCCUGCAGAGAAGUAUCCCCGCAUCUUUUCUAAAGGAUCUCUUUUCGGGAGGUUUCCAUACUUUUUAACCUGUCUUGCAAUAUCAGUCAUUGCUUUGUUUGCGUCAGUUAUCUCUUGCUGGCUUCCAGUAUGCAUCUCUUCCUAAUUCUCCUCGUUUCUUGCAACACAUGGUCCAAAUUUUAUCCCUCUUUUGGAAGAGUUCACGACCCCAACAAGUCAGAAGAAAUAGAUGUUUUGGAUUCUGAGCUUCUACCUUCCAAGUGGAGCCUCCUAAAGAUUUGGCCCUUAAUGUCUUCUAUCAUUGUUUAUUGUCUUCUAUCAUUGUAUAUUGCAUUUUUCAAAUGCAUGAUAUGGCCUACAGUGAGAGAACUUGAAAUUCGACAAGUAGGUGUUGCUUUCAUAGGAGAAGAUAAAGUCCAAAGCAAAAUUUGCUGUAACAUGAAACUCUGAAAGUUUUAAUUCAAAUAUGAAGUCGAUGGAGAAGGUGAUGAUUGAGGGACGCCAUGGACCUUAGUGGUUGUGUAACAUGACAGCUAAGCCUUCGGAAAUGGUGGGAGAUGGAAGUGGUGUGUGUUAGGAGGAUUAUAUUUAAUGAGUAUUUGAAUUAACUAGUUGUAAGCACAUCUUAUGUAAUGAAUGAAUGAUAUAUGUGAUAUUUUUGAAAUUUCAAUA